GUGGCUACACUUGCACUGUUCACAGUUCUAGCUUGCAGCGCAGUAGAGUAUAAUUUGGUUUGUGAAAUAGGUUACAUAGAUACUAUUCUACGAAAAUGGAGUGGAGUAACGAGAAAAUACUUGAAUUUUUAACAGUUUUCGAAACAGAAACUUGCUUAUGGGAUCC
rnacentral:lncRNA from 1 species